AGCGAACGCUGGCGGCAGGCCUAACACAUGCAAGUCGAACGAACCUUUCGGGGUUAGUGGCGGACGGGUGAGUAACACGUGGGAACGUGCCUUUAGGUUCGGAAUAACUCAGGGAAACUUGUGCUAAUACCGAAUGUGCCCUUCGGGGGAAAGAUUAAUCGCCUUUAGAGCGGCCCGCGUCUGAUUAGCUAGUUGGUUGAGGUAAUGGCUUACCAAGGCGACGAUCAGUAGCUGGUCUGAGAGGAUGAUCAGCCACAUUGGGACUGAGACACGGCCCAAACUCCUACGGGAGGCAGCAGUGGGGAAUCUUGCGCAAUGGGCGAAAGCCUGACGCAGCCAUGCCGCGUGAAUGAUGAAGGUCUUAGGAUUGUAAAAUUCUUUCACCGGGGACGAUAAUGACGGUACCCGGAGAAGAAGCCCCGGCUAACUUCGUG
rnacentral:rRNA from 1 species